rnacentral:rRNA from 1 species
CCUACGGGAGGCAGCAGUGAGGAAUAUUGGUCAAUGGGCGGGAGCCUGAACCAGCCAAGUCGCGUGAGGGAAGACGGUCCUAUGGAUUGUCAACCUCUUUAGGCGGGGAGUAAUGCCGGGCACGCGUGCCCGGAGGGAGAGUACCCGCAGAAUAAGCAUCGGCUAACUCCGUGCCAGCAGCCGCGGUAAUACGGAGGAUGCGAGCGUUAUCCGGAUUUCUUGGGUUUAAAGGGUGCGUAGGCGGAUUGUCAAGUCAGCGGUAAAAUGUCCGGGCUCAACCCGGGCCGGCCGUUGAAACUGGGGAUCUGUAGUGGGCGAGAAGUAUGCGGAAUGCGUGGUGUAGCGGUGAAAUGCAUAGAUAUCACGCAGAACUCCGAUUGCGAAGGCAGCAUACCGGCGCCCGACUGACGCUGAGGCACGAAAGCGUGGGGAUCGAACAGGAUUAGAUACCCUAGUAGUC